GAUGAACGCUGGCGGCGUGCCUAAUACAUGCAAGUCGAGCGAACGGACGAGAAGCUUGCUUCUCUGAUGUUAGCGGCGGACGGGUGAGUAACACGUGGAUAACCUACCUAUAAGACUGGGAUAACUUCGUGAAACCGGAGCUAAUACCGGAUAAUAUUUUGAACCGCAUGGUUCAAAAGUGAAAGACGGUCUUGCUGUCACUUAUAGAUGGAUCCGCGCUGCAUUAGCUAGUUGGUAAGGUAACGGCUUACCAAGGCAACGAUGCAUAGCCGACCUGAGAGGGUGAACGGCCACACUGGGACUGAGACACGGUCCAGACUCCUACAGGAGGCAGAAGUAGGGAAGCUACAGCAAUGGGCGAAAGACUGAAGAAGCAACGCCGCGUGAGUGAAGAAGGUCUUCGGAUAGUAAAACUCUGUUAUUAGGGAAGAACAUAUGUGUAAGUAACUGUGCACAUCGUGACGGUACCUAAUCAGAAAGCAACGGCUAACUACGUG
rnacentral:rRNA from 1 species